UACGUAGGGUGCAAGCGUUGUCCGGAAUUAUUGGGCGUAAAGAGCUCGUAGGCGGUCUGUCGCGUCUGGUGUGAAAAUCCAGGGCUUAACCCAGGACCUGCAUCGGGUACGGGCAGACUAGAGUGCGGUAGGGGAGAUCGGAAUUCCUGGUGUAGCGGUGAAAUGCGCAGAUAUCAGGAGGAACACCGGUGGCGAAGGCGGAUCUCUGGGCCGUAACUGACGCUGAGGAGCGAAAGCAUGGGGAGCGAACAGG
rnacentral:rRNA from 1 species